rnacentral:tRNA from 11 species
CGGGGCGUAGCGCAGCCUGGUAGCGUACUUGCAUGGGGUGCAAGGGGUCGGGAGUUCGAAUCUCCCCGCCCCGACCA